AUACAUUGUCUUUGUAUUAUUAGAAUUCCACUUCCGGCAUCUUAUUAACUUGCGCACGCUGUGCUGUUACACAGAAACAAUAUUUGAUCCAAGUUAUUGCGUUUAUUUAGUGGAUAAAAUCAACCGUUUAAAUAUGGCUGAGCCAGCAAAAACUGCUAAGGUAACCACUAAAGGGACUGGUGUUAAGACAUCUGGUAAAAUUAAUUCAGAUGCAGAGUAUGAGGGCAAAUUUCCAAGAAUAAAACAGGAGCCUGACACACCUGGUAAAAUUAUGGUGACUGGUAUUCCCAAAAAUGAUAACUAUUCAGAAGCUGACUUGGAAAAAGAGUUUGCACCUUAUGGUCGCAUAACAGAAGUCAACAUUAUUCGGGAUAGAAAAACAAAUCUCCCAAGAGGCUUUGCAUUUAUCACAUUUGAAAAUCCUAAAGAUGCUGAGGAUGCCACCAAAGCUCUGGAGGGAAGAAAUUUAGGGGGAGACACUCCAAUUCAUUGUGAACAGGCAGUCAUAGGCUUAAAAAAGAGUAAACAACUUAUUAUUGAAAUGAGAGGCGGGGGUAGAGGAAGAGGAAGUAGAGGUGGUGAUAGAUUAAGAGGGCGUGGUAUAGAAAGAGGUGGAAUGGGUAGGUUUAUGGAAAGAGGAGGAAGAGGAAUGAGAGGAAGGCCAGCACCAAACCCAUACAAUGAUAUGGGAGGUAUGCAAGAAGAGGAGUACUAUGAAGAAACAUUUGACCAGGAGCCAGUUUAUGAUAACUUCCCUAGAGGUGGCCCUUUCAUGCAUGGAGCACCUGGAAGAGGAAGCUUACUGGGUAGAGAAGGGCCUCCAGUUAGAGGAAGAGUUGGCUUGCGGGGUGGUCCCAUUAGCAGGGGCGUUCCUCCAGGUAGAGGCAGGGGCAUGACUGGAAUGGAGCCACCUUCUAGAGGCGGUCCACCCAGGGGUGGGCCACCCAGGAGAGCUUUACUCCCUGCCCCAGCAAUGAGGGGAACUAGGGGAGGUUAUGGUGGACCAGUGAAUAGAGAAGAAUAUUAUGAGGAAGAGGAUAAUGGUUACCAAGAGGAGUAUUAUGAAACCCAAGGUAAUGAUCCUUACGCUGAGGAAUAUGAAGAGUAUUAUGCACAGACAGAUGACUACUACACAAGAGAACGACUAGAACCUCCCAGAGGUAGAGGAGGUCUAUUAAAGAAGAGACCGCAGCCUGUUGAAGAGUAUGGUUACGAUUAUCAGACUGCCAAUCCAAGGUUACAAGCCCAGGCACAAAGAAGAAAUCCUGCUUCAGGUUAUGUAGAGGAAGAAUAUGAAGAACCUCAAAUGGCUCCAAGUCAGUUUGAAAGACCAAGGGCAAGAGUUCCACCUGGUGCAGCCCCAGUUGCUAGAAUUGGAAGAGGUGGUGCCGCACCACGGGGAAGAGGAGGUCUGCUGGGAACUGAUCCCUACAGUGCAGAAGAAUCUGCCAUGUAUGAGAGUGCUGGCCCCACAUCUGGCUAUGAAGUUGAUGCUUAUGGUGACCACUACGGUAGAAGACCAGGAGCAACACCAGCCCAGAGGUCUGCCCCGCCUAACAGGAUGAGGCCAACUCCACCUGCAGCUGAUGUGUAUACCACAGAAAGACCCAAACCAAAACCACAGCCUCUAAUGGGUGAAAUGGUGCCACAAAGGCGACCAGGUCUGGCAGGCCCUGCUCGCUUUGCCGAGAAUUAUGAAAGCUCUAAUGCAGCAGCUGUCCAAGGAAGAGAUGCAUAUUCUGAAGUGCGAAGACCUCCUGUCAGACGUGCUGAACCUGAGUACAGAGACCCUUAUCAAGCAGCUGAAACAGAUGCAUAUGUUUCUUACCCUCCAGCUGCACGAGGACCACCAGAAAUGAGUCGUAAACGUGCCAUUGAUUCAUAUGAAGAAGAAGUACCACGGGGUCCUCGUAGGGACUUUGAGGAAUACAGAUCUGCAGCAGCAGCAGCACCUUUACCACCUUCCAAAAGGGAAAGGUUAGACAGAAGUGCUUAUGAAGCCUACUCGUCCAGACAAGAGGGACCAUAUAGACUCAUUUAAGCUUGUUCAGUUCAAACAAUGCAUUGCUCUUUUCAAAUGAGGCAUAGACAGUUUUGCUGACACAGGUGAUUAAAUGGCUCAAUUAAUGUAAAUCAGCCAACAGUGAAAUCUCGAACAGUAAAACCACUCUACCGGACAGGAACUCUGGAUGACAGCAUCAUAUUCAAAAUAAAGCCUAAGUCUUGGAGAGCCCAAGUAGUGCAACGUCAUCGUCGAAGUCAAACUCCGUCAUUUGGUUUUGUUCUCGCCAUGAAAUACCAAAGGCAGUCUGAUUCAUUGCUCUCCUCAUUAUGUAGUCGAUGGCUAGGAGGAAGAGGAAGGGAGAUAAGAUGCACCCCUGUCUCACACCUGUCACGAUGCUAGCUCUAGCAUCUGUCAAGGUGAAAGAACUGAAAUCACACCAUCUGAAAAAAACUAAGCAUGGCAUCAUCCAAGAAAUUAGAAUAUAUGAAUCUUACAAGAUUGAGAAGGCAACAGCAAGCCAAUUAUCAGUGAGCAUUUCACUUUCAUUGUAAAACUCAAGAAAAGGAGCAAAUUUAGGCCUAAAUUCAACUUGGCAUGUGAUUGGAACCAAAAGGUUAAAAUAGUAGUAAGAGAAUCAAGUCAGCUGCAGGCUUUUCCAACACUUGCUUCCACUUUUCCUGACAGUAAUGGCAUAUCUAGCUUGAUGACAGGUGUGGGGUACUGUUCUGUCAUUCCUCCAAAUGUUAUACUUUGUUUUUUCUUGCCGGAAAAUUGGUUAAGGGGUCCAUGCUGUUUUUAACCCCAAUGGUGGUAGCGCCUGUUCUCUCAGAACCCAAAUAUAUUUCUUUUAGACGAAUCCAGGACACAUCUUAAGUUUUCCAGCGAUGCAUGUAACCACUCCAGCCAUAUGAACCUGAUCAGGUUCAGGAGGAAAUAGUUCAACUUUCUGACAGUCUAUUUAACCUGAUGCAUUGUACAGAUGUCUGUUUGAUCUUCCUUAGAUACUUGCUCUGAACUCAUGACUUCUGCAUGAGCCCAUAGUCUUGUUUCAUCUUUGUGGGCUUUUGUUAUGACAUUGUGCUGCUAAAUGUCCAGUUUGGAAACAUUUAAAACAUAUUUUUUUUUCAAUAACAUCUUUCAUUUACGUUUCACAUUCACCCUUUUUCAUUCUUGAUUAGAUUGGCUUUUGGUAUCAUUUGUUUUUGCAGCAACCAGGAACUCACUUAAAAUCAAGUCUUCCCCCCUUUGAAGUGUUUGCUCUGGAUGUGCUGUAAUAAACUGUUGACAAACUUUUGGUUUCAUGUCAUGAACAAAAGCCACUAGCUGAGGGUUUCAUGAUGUGAGGAUCUUUUCUAGAAUGAAUAAAUCAAUGAGACCUUCAAAUAAUGUUUCAGUAUUUGACAAUUCUACCCAGCGCAUUAGGUAUCGAACAAUCGACUAGGCUCUUGCCGUAACUAUAACUAUUAUAAACACUUAAAUAACUUAGUUGAAUUGCUAAACAUAGACUUUAUUGUCCCUUGUUUAAUCACACAUUGGCAAGUGUCCUCAUGCAAACUUACAUCUGGCCAUUCACUCAUACAUUCCAACUGACAGUUACAAGUAAAAUUUUAGUAUACACACAGGACAUUCUCAAUACCAUCAAACUAAUGAAUAAAGACCCUAAAAUACAUAACACCACACAUAUAUUGUGACAGAAGUAAUGGCAAUUCAUUAAUUUAUCAUCAUAUUUGUUUUUUGGCCAUUAAUCUCCCCUUCUUCUCAAAUUUUUUGGGUUAAAAAAAUUAGUUUUGAUGGCUGAUAAAUGACUUUUUAUUCUCAUUAAACAUCAGACUUUAAAUAUUCGAUCACAAAUUAUUGGUGUAUGCUUAACAAUAUUUAAGAUAUUGAAUAGUUUCUAUGACUUUCUAACCCUUUAUAUUGUAUUUAAGGAAAUGUCUGGUUCCUGACGAUCUAUAACAUUUUGUGAUUUUGCUUUCACUGUCGGUCUUCCAUUUCAUUGUUUACAUUUUUGUUUCUUGAUUCUUUGAUUAGGCCCCAUAGACUUCAAGGCAGCUAGCUUCCUUGAUCAGUCAUUGUUACACACCCAAUUCUAAUAAUGACUUUGAACCAAAUAAGUUGAUACCAUUAUCAUUAACAGACUUAGAGGAUAUUUUAUGGAUUCACUUGCUUUUUUUUCUU